rfam:Hordeum vulgare subsp. vulgare, WGS project CAJW01000000 data, contig: morex_contig_273259
UGGCGAUGAUGAUAAAACUAAGGCUUGUUUCUCAAAACAUUCGCAGUUGCCGCCUAAGAGCUUUCGCCCUGCCAGGCUNGAGAGCUAAUGCUGCUAAUUCCUUCCUUGGAUGUCUGAGCCA